UGUAUCUCAAUGGACUUCUACUGAAAACAUGCCAGAGGCUACAAACUGAAAUUUAUAUUUCAUAGUUCGGGACACUGAGAAGUCCAAGUUCAAAAGUGCACAGAAGAACAGCAAUAUCCCAUCCCCUCUGCACCUCCUAACUGCUGUUUCAAGAGAUAAUGACUGAAGUUAGAUCUUCAUUACAAUGAAAAGCUCGGAGUGGAAAUUGCUCAGUGAAGUUGGUUGAUGCGGCUGUCGGGAGCAAAAGAACAUGAAGAAUGUACGUCUAUGGAUAUGAAGCUAAGAAGCCAAGGGGUGAAACUAAGAAUAACUUUUGUCAAAAGUUGUACAGAGGAAAAGAAAGGGUUGGUUAUCUUUGGUGAGCCAACAUUAAGCAAAAAUUUAUGUCAGGUGUGAUUCUAUCCCCUACAGUCUACAAGCUCCAUUUGACUUACACAGCUUUUGCCUGAGAAUUUUUCAUGGCAAGGUGAGAAAAGAGUAAUGACAGAAAAGAAAAAUGGAAUUUUGUUCAGUUCUUCAGACAAAACGUUAUUAUGAAACUUCCUGGAAAAUGGAUGUAAGUGGAAAGUAUUAGGAACAGGUCUGUGAGGUGAGGACUUGAAAGGGUUGGGAGGGUAUCAGGACACAUGCGACAGGAAAGUAGAAAGGGAAAUACCGAAGGCCAAAGGGUACAAGCAAAGAUGUUGCAGAGGAGUAAGGAGAUGGGGAGAAGGGCGGGUUGGGAGCAGAGGAUU